rnacentral:misc_RNA from 1 species
GAUGAAGAACGUAGCGAAAUGCGAUAAGUAGUGUGAAUUGCAGAAUUCAGUGAAUCAUCGAAUCUUUGAACGCACAUUGCGCCCUUUGGUAUUCCAAAGGGCAUGCCUGUUUGAGCGUCAUUUGUACCCUCAAGCUUUGCUUGGUGUUGGGCGUCUUGUCUCUAGCUUUGCUGGAGACUCGCCUUAAAGUAAUUGGCAGCCGGCCUACUGGUUUCGGAGCGCAGCACAAGUCGCACUCUCUAUCAGCAAAGGUCUAGCAUCCACUAAGCCUUUUUUUCAACUUUUGACCUCGGAUCAGGUAGGGAUACCCGCUGAACUUAAGCAUAUCAAUAAGCGGAGGA